UGCGGGCUUGCCGAGUUCGGCCGUCAGCGCCGCGACGGCCGGCGCCACGAUCGCCGCUCCGGUCGGUGAACCGGGGUCGACGCCCGGGUCCGCGCC
rnacentral:tRNA from 1 species